GGCCCUGUGGCGCAGAUGGUCAGCGCGUCGCCCUGUCAAGGCGAAGGUCGCGGGUUCAAGUCCCGUCAGGGUCG
rnacentral:tRNA from 1 species